rnacentral:rRNA from 1 species
CCAGACUCCUACGGGAGGCAGCAGUGGGGAAUAUUGGGCAAUGGGGGAAACCCUGACCCAGCGACGCCGCGUGAGGGAAGAAGGUUUUCGGAUUGUAAACCUCUGUCCUUGGUGACGAUAAUGACGGUAGCCAAGGAGGAAGCCACGGCUAACUACGUGCCAGCAGCCGCGGUAAUACGUAGGUGGCAAGCGUUAUCCGGAUUUACUGGGUGUAAAGGGCGUGUAGGCGGGACUGCAAGUCAGAUGUGAAAAUUAUGGGCUCAACCCAUAACCUGCAUUUGAAACUGUAGUUCUUGAGUGAUGGAGAGGCAGGCGGAAUUCCGUGUGUAGCGGUGAAAUGCGUAGAUAUACGGAGGAACACCAGUGGCGAAGGCGGCCUGCUGGACAUUAACUGACGCUGAGGCGCGAAAGCGUGGGGAGCAAACAGGAUUAGAUACCCCAGUAC